GGCACCACGGCUCCCCACGGCGCCCCGUCCCGGCGGGCACCACUGCUCCCCACGGCGCCCCGUCCCGGCGGGCACCACGGCUCCCCACGGUGUCCCGUCCCGGCGGCCACCACGGCUCCCCACGGUGCCCCGUCCCAGCAGCCACCACUGCUCGCCUCGUGUUCCUCAUCUCUGAUUCAUCAUUGCUGCUGGCCUCGGGUCCAGCGCCUGCCUCAGUGAUGGCAGACAAAAUCCCAUCUCCACCAUGGUGGUGUGGGUGUGGGGUGGACAUGUGAUGACCUGGGUGGAUGCUUCUCCAUGAAGGACAUGUGCCCUGGGGCUGGGAGGCUCAGCUCCUCCACUGAGCACCAGUGGGCCUGAGGCCACAGCAUCUCAGACAGCCAGUGUGCCCACAGUCAGCACAGCAGGUGCACAGCCCAGGGCACCCACAGCAGGCCCACAGCCCAGGUCAGCACAGCAGGUGCACAGCCCAGGGCACCCACAGCAGGCGCACAGUGCAGGUCGCCCACCACAGAUGCACAGGCCAUGGUCAGCACAGCAGAUGCACAGCCCAGGUCAGCACAGCAGGUGCACAGCCCAGGUCACCCACAGCAGGCGCACAGCCCAGGUCAGCACAGCAGGUGUAUAGCCCAGGUCACCCACAGUAGGUGCACAGCCCAGGUAACCCACAGCAGGUGCACAGCCCAGGACACCCACAGCAGGUGCACAGCCCAGGUCACCCAGAGCAGGUGCACAGCCCAGGACACCCACAGCAGGUGCACAGCCCCAGGUCAGCACAGCAGGUGCACAGCCCAGGUCACCCAGAGCAGGUGCACAGCCCAGGUCACCCAGAGCAGGUGCAUAGCCCAGGUCAGCCACAGCAGGUGCACAGGCCAUGGUCAGCACAGCAGGUGCACAGCCCCAGGUCACCCAGAGCAGGCACAGGGCCCAGGUAAUCCAUAGCAGUUGCACAGCCCCAGGUCACCCACAGCAGGUGCACAGGCCAUGGUCAGCACAGCAGGUGCACAGCCCAGGUCACCCAGAGCAGGCACAGGGCCCAGGUCAGCCACAGCAGGUGCACAGCCCCAGGUCACCCAGAGCAGGCCCACAGCCCAGGUCAGCACAGCAGGUACACAGCCCAGGUCAGCCACAGCAGGUGCAUAGCCCAGGUCAGCCACCGCAGGUGCACAGGCCAUGGUCAGCACAGCAGGUGCACAGCCCCAGGUCAGCCACAGCAGGUGCACAGCCCAGGUCAGCCACAGCAGGUGCACAGCGCAGGUCACCCACCGCAGGUGCACAGGCCAUGGUCAGCACAGCAGGUGCACAGCCCAGGGCACCCACAGCACAUGCAUAGGCCGUGGUCAGCACAGCAGGUGUACAGCCCAGGGCACCCACAGCAGGUGCACAGGCCAGGGCACCCACAGCACAUGCAUAGGCCGUGGUCAGCACCUUAGAUGCACAGCCCAGGGCUCCCACAGCACAUGCAUAGGCCGUGGUCAGCACAGCAGGUGCACAGCCCAGGUCAGCACAGCAGAGCACUGCUGCAGGCUGCGGCCCUGGGGAGUCCAUGCUUGACCCUGAACGAGCGUCUCCCUGUCUCCACUGAUGCAGGGGUGGGCGGGAGACCUCUCUGUGGGACUGUGUCCGCGGCUUCUGUAAUGUCUUCCUGGCUUUUCAGAGGGGCAUAUGGCCCUGUAAAGGCUGCCGGAUGAAUAUGUGAUGCCUGGAGCUGUGGCAGUUAUCUUGUGAGAAUGAGGGGAUGGCUCUGAGGUUGAGGCCAACCAGAGUGAGCAGGUAGGAGGAGGGGUCCUGGACCCCGUGUUGUGCACUGAGCGUCUUGUCACUUGGCGUAACCGUCUGGUUUAUAGCUUCUGUACUUGCAUCACAGAACUGUGGGACUAGCUCCUGACUGUGUGCAUGUGCUUGGGUUAGAAAUCCCCCUCUUUAACCCCAAAGUGUGACCAGGGGCUCCUCCCACUGCGGUGGGGGGGGGGGCUGCUGGGACAGUGGCUCGUUCCUGCUGCCCACGGAGCAGACACAUGCAGGACCUGCAAGGGGUGCCCCUCCUUGCCCGGGCC